AUGCUGUACUCGCGGCGGCCCGGCCCUCGUCCGGGAGUGCGUGUGUGCGCGCGUGUGUGCGCGAGUGAGUGUGUGCGCGGGGGUGCGCGCGCGGGCGGGAGUGGGCGCGCGCGGGGAAAGGCCCGAAAACACCUUAGUUUGCACCGAGAGACCAUUUGCAGCGGAACCCGAAAGUUUGCAAGAGGAAGAGAGCGCGCGGCGAGCAAGCGGGCAAGGGGCAGCGGCAGCGGCGCCGGGGACCAUGGUGCUGUCGGCGCCUCCUCCGCGGGCGUGAAGGCGGCGCUCCCACUCCCUCCCUGGACUCUGCGGGUGAGCGCAGAGAUGGAACACAGAUGCUCCCGUGUGAAGUGGAAGGAAGUUGCAGUUGGUCCUAAUUCAACAUGUUUCAAAGGGGGACUUGGCUCACCUGCUUCCAGAUCAUUGUGUGUGUUUGUCUACGUGUCGGGGAGUUUUAUUAAAAUACAGAUUCUUGCAUUGGAAUUUUUGCUGACUGAUGAGAGAAUGCAUUUUAAACAAACUUCCCCUGGUAAUUCUGAAGCAUGCUAAACAGAGGACUGUGGACCAAGUGAUUUAUACUGCUAGAGAUUCUGGAACUGAAAUCUUUAUCUUCUUUUGGAUUUUACUGAUGAAUUUUUUUGUUUUAUCUUGAGGCCUGUAUUAUUUUUAAUGAGUUCGGUUUUCCAUUAAGAAUCAAAACUGGUGGUUUUCUAAGUAUGUACGAGUAUUGGAAUCAUAGUGGAGCUCUGGUUCCUGACACAGACGUAGUAGCGCUGCUCCUGGAUGUGCC
rnacentral:lncRNA from 1 species